rnacentral:rRNA from 1 species
UCGAGGAUCUUCGGCAAUGGGCGCAAGCCUGACCGAGCGACGCCGCGUGGGCGAUGAAGGCCUUCGGGUUGUAAAGCCCUGUCGAGGGGGAGAAAGGCGCGCAAGCGCUUGAUCGACCCCUGGAGGAAGCACGGGCUAAGUUCGUGCCAGCAGCCGCGGUAAGACGAACCGUGCGAACGUUGUUCGGAAUCACUGGGCUUAAAGGGCGCGUAGGCGGGCUCGUAAGUUCGGGGUGAAAGCCCGCGGCUCAACCGCGGAAGCGCCUCGGAUACUGCGGGCCUGGAGGGAGGUAGGGGCGUGCGGAACUUCCGGUGGAGCGGUGAAAUGCGUAGAUAUCGGAAGGAACACCGGUGGCGAAAGCGGCGCGCUGGACCUCUUCUGACGCUGAGGCGCGAAAGCCAGGGGAGCAAACGGGAUUAGAUACCCCCGUAGUCC